UGUUGCUUCUCGCAACUAAUUUUCAUUAAUUUCAAUCAAUUCCCAUGAAGUUUACGAAAUAUCCAUCAAUAUCCGAAAAUCGGUAUUUCCAUAAAAUCCCACAUUUCUAUGGAGAUCGAUAUCUGGAAGCGGACACAAAUUUUAUAAAUUGAACGAUGAAUUUGAAAAAAAAAAAAUAGUCAAUUGUGAAUUGAGCUUUUUUCAAUUCCAAAAGACUUGAAAUUUUGAACGAGAGCUUAAAGUUGAAGCUGAAGUCGAGCAGAGGCAACUGUGAGAAACCAUUUCAAACCUUACUCUACCAUUAACAAAUUCUGCUUCAUCUUCCUGCCAAUUUCAAAUUAACUUCUGUUCCUUGUCCAUGUUAUGUAAGAACUUUGAACACCCUCAAAAUAUUUUCUUGUGCACUGCAACCAAGAAACUUUGAUAUACGGGCAUCAAGAGCACACCACAAUAACAGAGCUGAAGCUAUCUCGGCAUCUCCGUAUACAAAUUUUCUAAACUCCCACUUUCUAUCUCCCAUUAAGAUGUUCGAACACACCUGCAGAAGAAGAAUAGUUUAACUCCUUCGUUUUUGUUAUUCAUGUAUGCAAACAUCAUAGCUAAGGAAUUGCGCCACUGCGCAACAGUUAGAGCUUUCAAACGAGGUAAUGCCAUUCAUGCUUAUUUGAGAAAAUUUGGGGGCUUGAACGAUGUGUUUCUUGCCAACAAUUUGAUUUCCAUGUAUGCUGAGUUUUAUAAUGUACGAGAUGCAGAGAAGGUGUUUGAUGAAAUGACUGACAGGAAUAUUGUUACUUGGACGAGCAUGGUUUCUGCAUUUACUGAUGGUGGAAGACCUUAUGAGGCAAUCCGACUAUAUAAUGAUAUGCCGAAAUCAGAGACACCCAAUGGUUACAUGUACUCCGCGGUUCUGAAGGCAUGCGGGUUUGUGGGUGAUUUGGGUUUGGGUAAAUUAAUUCAAGAAAGAAUAUAUGAAGAUAAAUUGCAGGCGGAUACCAUUUUGAUGAAUUCUCUCAUGGAUAUGUUUGUGAAAUGUGGAAGCUUGAAUGAUGCUGUGGAAGUUUUUCAUAAUAUUUCACGGGCCACCACUACUACUUGGAACAUUAUUGUUUCUGGCUAUAGUAAGGCUGGUUUGAUGGUGGAGGCUGAAAAACUUUUCCAUUGUAUGCCACACCCAAAUGUUGUAUCUUGGAACAGUAUGAUCGCUGGUUUUGCAGACAAUGGGAGUCAACGCGCAUUGGAAUUUGUGUCAAUGAUGCACAAAAAGAGUAUCAAGCUUGAUGAUUUCACAUUUCCAUGUGCUUUAAAGAUCAGUGCGCUUCAUGGGUUAUUAGUCAUCGGGAAACAAGUUCAUACCUACGUCACCAAGUUGGGUUAUGAAUCUAGUUGUUUCACUCUGUCUGCCCUGAUUGAUAUGUAUUCUAAUUGCAAUGACCUGAUCGAAGCAGUCAAGUUAUUUGACCAACAAUCUUCUUUCAACGCCUCCAUUUCUGAUAACCUGGCAUUGUGGAACUCGAUGCUCUCAGGAUACGUUAUCAAUAAUUGUGACCAAGCAGCUUUGAAUCUGCUUUCAGAAAUCCAUUGCUCGGGUGCAUUACUGGACUCUUACACCUUUGGUGGUGCUUUAAAGGUCUGCAUCAACUUAUUAAGUCGGAGGGUUGGCCUUCAACUACAUGGUUUGAUUGUCACUUGUGGUUAUGAGUUGGAUUAUGUUGUUGGAAGCAUUCUUGUGGAUCUUUAUGCAAAACUAGCGAACAUUGACGAUGCAUUAGCAAUGUUCCAUAGGCUUCCGAGGAAAGAUAUCAUAGCUUGGUCGGGUUUGAUCAUGGGAUGUGCUCAAAUUGGAUUGAACUGGUUAGCUUUCUCAAUGUUCAAAGAUAUGCUCGAGUUGGUUAAUGAAAUAGAUCAUUUUGUUAUUUCAACCAUUUUGAAAGUCUGCUCCAAUUUAGCAUCCCUUAGAAGUGGAAAGCAGGUCCAUGCAUUCUGUGUCAAGAGUGGGUAUGAAAUGGAGGGGUUCACAAUCACAUCCCUUCUUGAUAUGUAUUCAAAAUGUGGUGAAAUUGAGGAUGCAUUAACGCUGUUUUGUUGUGUACAAGAAAAAGACAUAGUUAGUUGGACUGGUAUCAUUGUAGGAUGUGGACAAAAUGGAAAGGCGGCCGAAGCGAUCAGGUUUUUUCAUGAGAUGGUUCAAUCAGGGAUAACUCCAAACGAAAUCACCUUUCUAGGGGUUCUUUCUGCAUGUCGAUAUGCUGGUUUGGUUGAAGAGGCACGAAGCAUAUUUAAUUCUAUGAAAUCCGUAUAUGGCCUAGAACCUCAUUUAGAGCAUUACUGUUGCAUGGUUGAUCUUCUUGCUUCCGUGGGGCUUCCUGAAGAAGCUGAAAAGUUGAUAGCAAAUAUGCCAUUUGAGCCUGAUCAGACCACAUGGCGCACUUUGCUUGGGGCAUGUGGAACUCGCAAUGAUACCAAGCUUAUUAACCGUGUUGCUGAUGGCCUUCUUGAAGCCACACCAAAUGACCCUUCAACAUACGUGACACUUUCAAAUGCUUAUGCAUCAUUAGGGAUGUGGCAUACCUUGAGCAAAGCGAGAGAGGCUUCAAAAACAUUUGGAGUUAAAAAAGCUGGGUUGAGCUGGAUUGAGGUUUCGAGUUGAAAAAAAAUCUUGUUUUGAUUAAUAGGAUUAAACCUCGGUUGAAAUGAGGGCCAUCCCAUGAAUUGGGUUUCGUGAACAAGUCUGCCCAUGAAAAGGAGAGAUUGAUCUUGGAACCAAAGUUCAAAGAGAUCCCAUAAGUUCAAGGUGAAACACUAUCCAAAUGAUAUUAUUAUGGAAGAUGAAUAACAAAACCUUAGAAUUAUUGUAUACUACAGCUUCAAAACAUUGAAUCAGAUCAAGUCAAAAAUAGACAAAAUAGUUCUGUCUCGAGUUUUGACAAACAACCUUUUUGGCCAGUUCCUACAUUAAAAUGGCCAAAAUACCAACGCAAUUCCUGAAUUUUCUAUUAAAAAAACAAUGCCAUACAAAAAAAAAAACUAAUGUCCUUACUUUCAACUUCAAUGGACAUAUAACAGAAUUUGGGCUGAAAGACUUUUGUUUUGUGACUGGACUAAAAUGUCACAAAUUCUCUGAGUUAAAUCUAGGAAAAAGAAAAGAAAAUGGUCUGAAAAAUUCGUUGUUCUAUCAUGAUGACUUUAUAACAAGAAGAGAUAUAGAAAGAACUUUCACAGCAUUGUGCAAUGAGGAAGGCUCAUUGAAAGAAAAACUAGUUAACCUCUAUAUCUUAGAAGCAUUUUUAAUUCCCAAAUAGCAACACAACCACAUAAAUUUCCUACAUCUAGACAUAUUGGAUAAUGAAGAAAUCUUCAAAGGCUAUCCAUGGGGGAGGUUAUCAUACAUCCUAACAUAUCAGUUCUUGAAAAAAAGCAUCCUACAGUGACAAGGAUGUUGUAUACCUUCAAGGAUUUUUCCUAGCUUUAGUCUAUUGGGCUUUCGAGAAAAUACCAAGACUUUCCAAUUUAGAUGUUGAGUUUGGAAGAAAGCUUGCAAAGGAAGGUCCACCAAUUGUAACAUGGGAAUAUUUGGAAACAAGUGACUAGAGGACUCUAAACAUCAACAUUUUCGAAUAUGAAAAUGUAAGUAAACUUAGAGCAUUAUUAUAUAUAUGUCUAUCCAGAUAGACAAUGAAAGAUUUUCUAUCAAUCUCUAUCUUGAAUAGAUGAUGAUAUAAAUCUAUCACUGUUUAUCAGUACCUUUGCUACUACUUUUUCAAUAAUAAUGUAAUAUCAUUUUAUUUGUAGUUCUCCAUGACACCUCUAGGCUAAUCAGAAGAAGAGUCUCAAACAAUUUUGAGAUAUUUCAAAAAUAUUGAGAAGCAGGAAAGAUGGAAAAAAAAUAAUGAAACAAAUAAAAUCUUAAAUAAAAUAAGUGAAGUCAGAAAAAAUCAAGAAAAAUAGAAACAGAACAAAUAUUAUUAAGACAAGAAAUAAAAGAAAUAAAAUGCAUGUUGACAAUGGUUAUUACAAGCUUGAAUGUAGCACCACCAUCACCCAAGCUUCAACAACAACAGAAUGAGAAAGAAGUUGCAUAUACAAAAGUCGUGGAGAAAAAUCGAUCACCUAGUUGUAGCCUUGAUCUUCUUGAUGAUGAUGAACAAUGGUGAAGUAUGCAACAACAAAUUGCCCUACGGAAACUGUUGUUUUGGAAACACAAAGUAGCUUGGAAACAAUAGCAACAAUAGAUUUAGAAACACCCAAAACACAAAUAUUGUCGAAGGUUUAACUCUUUUCCAAACAAUAAAAAUAACUCGUAUAGACAAAUAUAAUUUAUCUAUCAGGAUGUGUUUUCUUCAUGA